GGGCUUGACCGGUUUUGACAGCGGGCAGAGAUGGUUUGUAAGCAUGCAGUGCAUCGUUGUUCAGCACUUUAAUCUUGAAUGAUAACAAUUUAAUUGGCGAAAACACUUACGCUCUCGCUGCUUGAUCGAAGUAUAGUAGAUCUUAAGCUUUAUUCCUUCUCAAGGAGUUGGAACGAGACAUCACCCGGAAGCUCUGGCUUCGAAGCAAUCCGACCCGGUGGUGCAAGCAAUAUCGGAGAUAGUCUGAAGGAAGUCCCGGCUUUCGGACGAAAUUAAGGGACUAAGUUUCACAUUGGUUGUUCUGCGCUUGUGUGAAAUCGAAAACCUCAGCAGAAAUAAGCAUGUAGAAAGCAAAUGAUUUCCUCGUUUGGACGAGGGUUCGACUCCCUCCAGGUCCACUU
rnacentral:tmRNA from 1 species